rnacentral:rRNA from 1 species
UACAGAGGUCCCAAGCGUUGUUCGGAUUCACUGGGCGUAAAGGGUGCGUAGGCGGUCGGGUAAGUCUGACGUGAAAUCUUCAAGCUCAACUUGGAAACUGCGUCCGAUACUAUUCGGCUAGAGGAAUGGAGGGGAGACUGGAAUACUUGGUGUAGCAGUGAAAUGCGUAGAUAUCAAGUGGAACACCAGAGGCGAAGGCGGCUACCUGGACAAUUGCUGACGCUCAGGCACGAAAGCGUGGGGAGCAAAAGGG